AACGAACGCUGGCGGCAUGCCUAACACAUGCAAGUCGAACGAGAUCUUCGGGUCUAGUGGCGCACGGGUGCGUAACGCGUGGGAAUCUGCCCUUUGGUUCGGAAUAACAGUUGGAAACGACUGCUAAUACCGGAUGAUGACGAAAGUCCAAAGAUUUAUCGCCAGAGGAUGAGCCCGCGUAGGAUUAGCUAGUUGGUGUGGUAAAGGCGCACCAAGGCGACGAUCCUUAGCUGGUCUGAGAGGAUGAUCAGCCACACUGGGACUGAGACACGGCCCAGACUCCGACGGGGGGCAGCAGUGGGGAAUAUUGGACAAUGGGCGAAAGCCUGAUCCAGCAAUGCCGCGUGAGUGAUGAAGGCCUUAGGGUUGUAAAGCUCGUUUACCCGGGAUGAUAAUGACAGUACCGGGAGAAUAAGCUCCGGCUAACUCCGUGCCAGCCGCCGCCGUAA
rnacentral:rRNA from 1 species